rnacentral:rRNA from 1 species
GAGCGGCGGACGGGUGAGUAAUGCUUGGGAAUAUGCCUUUAGGUGGGGGACAACAGUUGGAAACGACUGCUAAUACCGCAUAAUGUCUACGGACCAAAGGAGGGGAUCUUCGGACCUUUCGCCUUUAGAUUAGCCCAAGUGAGAUUAGCUAGUAGGUAAGGUAAUGGCUUACCUAGGCGACGAUCUCUAGCUGGUUUGAGAGGAUGAUCAGCCACACUGGGACUGAGACACGGCCCAGACUCCUACGGGAGGCAGCAGUGGGGAAUAUUGCACAAUGGGGGAAACCCUGAUGCAGCCAUGCCGCGUGUGUGAAGAAGGCCCUAGGGUUGUAAAGCACUUUCAGUCGUGAGGAAAGGGUGUAAGUUAAUACCUUGCAUCUGUGACGUUAGCGACAGAAGAAGCACCGGCUAACUCCGUGCCAGCAGCCGCGGUAAUACGGAGGGUGCGAGCGUUAAUCGGAAUUACUGGGCGUAAAGCGUGCGUAGGCGGAUUGUUAAGCGAGAUGUGAAAUCCCGGGGCUCAACCUCGGAACUGCAUUUCGAACUGGCUAUCUAGAGUACUGUAGAGGGUGGUGGAAUUUCCAGUGUAGCGGUGAAAUGCGUAGAGAUUGGAAGGAACAUCAGUGGCGAAGGCGGCCACCUGGACAGAUACUGACGCUGAGGCACGAAAGCGUGGGGAGCAAACAGGAUUAGAUACCCUGGUAGUCCACGCCGUAAACGAUGUCAACUAGCUGUUUGUGUUCUUGAAACGUGAGUAGCGUAGCUAACGCGCUAAGUUGACCGCCUGGGGAGUACGGCCGCAAGGUUAAAAACUCAAAUGAAUUGACGGGGGCCCGCACAAGCGGUGGAGCAUGUGGGUU